AGGGAAUUAACUUUCCUGAGCUCAGUUCACGGUCAUCCCAGUCAAAAUCUCAAUUGAGGAUAUUUUUGAUGGAACUUGAAAAACUGAUUCUAAAAUUUAUAUAAAAUACAAAAAGCCAAUAACUGAAAAAUCUUCAUGCAAAAAAGAGAGGCUGACCCCUGGAAUCUGUGGAGUCCGUGCUCCCUUGCAGCUGGCAUCUGGCUGGGUUGGGUUAACAGGAUUCAUUGGCUGGAGCUUGGUGGUAGGAGGAAGAAAGAAGCUUGUGAGGUGGCUCCUCUGGCAGUGACUUCAUCUCCUCCCAGACAACUCCAGGUCAUUCCCAGGUCCCAGCUCCCACCAGGUAGCCCACCUCAUGGGUUCAGCUCCCACAGGUGCUUGAGUGAGAGUCAAAUCUCCAUAUACCAAUCAUGGAGCAGAGGUGCUAUGAGAGAUUCCUAA
rnacentral:lncRNA from 1 species